GGAGAAGGGCUGUAGCUCAGUGGGAGAGCAUCUGAUGUGCAUGCAGAAGGUCUCUGGUUUAAUCCCAAGCAUCUCCA